UAUCCCCAUCCAUGUCCAGCUGGUUGAACCAGGGCCCCGGCUCUCCGAAGAACACUCUGGAAGUAAUCUAAACAGAGCCCCGGGAAGUGAGGCUGGGCCAGAGGUGAAGGGAGACUGCAGCCCGCUCACCGGCCUCCACUCCAGACCCAACGCAUUCGUUUGGCCUCUGCUCACACGAGGCCUGGCUGCUGUGGGUGACCGUGGAGAGUGCUCUGAGGUGCGGGCUCAAAGCCUGCAGAAAGGAGGGGGCACAGGAGUGUGUGUGUGUGCGUGCGUGCACAAGUGUGAGAGGGGGAGAGAGGUGUGUGCAUGAGAAAGCACACACGUGGGGCAACGUGUGAGAGAGGACCGUGUGCUGUGUGUCUAAGAGGGGGGUGUGUGCACCUGUUUGAGGAGGACAGUCUGUCGACACGAGCCCGUGGCGGACUCUGUGACUGACCUCUCCCAGGCCUCGGUGGCCUGAGUAAAGAAAUGAAGUCACAAGUUCUCAUGCCUUUCCCUUCAGCCUGCCGGCGCAAGGCAGACGGGCAAAGGGCACGACCAGAGGGGAGGAGAAGGAAGAAAGUUCUGGGGGAUCCAGAGCCCAGACAAAGCAUCCCAGCUUGGAUGCAGACGGGCUGGGGCGCGGCCCAGCCUGCUUGGAGGAAGUCGUUCGCUCCCUGCGGUGGUGGCAACGGCUCAAACUCCAGCCCUGGGGGACUUGUGAAUCACUGCCCAAAGUCUGGAUUUGCCCAGAGUCUGCCCCAGCACCUCACUCACCGGGACAUCCUCAAAGGCAAUGUUGGUCACAUUGUUAUGGGGGCAGCUCUGCCAGGCGUUGUUCAGCCGGAAGGCCAGGGCACUGGUGUGCCGGCCCUCCAGGGCCACAAACUUGCGGAAGGUGCAGUUCUGGAUGUUGAUGGGGCCGUCAUAGAACUGAAUUCCUCGGAUCGGAAAAUUCCUACAGAGUUAAGGAAGUGAGAGGUCAGCCUGUUCGCCACGUUAUGCCAACGAGUUGUUUGCACCCUUCAAGGUGAUGGAAACAGAGACUUUCUGGGUAAACCGUCCUGAUCCCCACCUCCUGCUACUCCUCGCUGCAGGGCGUUAUUGAUUCAUCAGUUCAUGAGAAGGUAUUUAUAGACACAGUAAAUGUCAAUAAAUGAUUGCUAGAUGA